UAUCCGUAGGUGAACCUGCGGAAGGAUCAUUAUUGUAUAACCGAGGUGCGAGGGCCGUCGCUGACCCGAAAGGUCGUGCACGCCCGAGUGCCCUCACACACAUCCAUCUCACCCCUAUGUGCACCACCGCGUGGGUCCCCCUUUGGCUUGUUCGGAGGGGGGCUUACGUUUUCACACAAACUUUGUAUGCAGUGUAGAAUGUAUUUUUUGUUUUUGCGAUCACGCAAUCAAUACAACUUUCAACAACGGAUCUCUUGGCUCUC
rnacentral:misc_RNA from 1 species